UACAGAGGGUGCAAACGUUGCUCGGAAUCACUGGGCGUAAAGGGCGUGUAGGCGGGAAGGCAAGUCAGAUGUGAAAUCCCCAGGCUCAACCUGGGAACUGCAUUUGAAACUCCCUUUCUUGAGUACCGGAGAGGAAAGUGGAAUUCCUGGUGUAGAGGUGAAAUUCGUAGAUAUUCGCAAGAACACCAGUGGCGAAGGCGGCUCACUGGCCCGAUACUGACGCUGAGGCACGAAAGCGUGGGGAGCAAACAGG
rnacentral:rRNA from 1 species